rnacentral:rRNA from 1 species
AGCAGCCGCGGUAAUUCCAGCUCCAAUAGCGUAUAUUAAAGUUGUUGCAGUUAAAAAGCUCGUAGUUGAAUUUCGGGAUCAAUGUUUCGGUCAUGCCCUUGGUAUGUACUGAUAUUAUUGGUUUCUCACCUUCUAAAGAACCGUAAUGCCAUUAAUUUGGUGUCACGGGGAAUUAGGACUGUUACCUUGAAAAAAUUAGAGUGUUUAAAGCAGGCUCACGCUUGAAUACAUUAGCAUGGAAUAAUGAAAUAGGACAUCCGAUUCUAUUUUGUUGGUUUCUAGGAUCGAUGUAAUGAUUAAUAGGGAUAGUUGGGGGCAUUAGUAUUCAAUUGUCAGAGGUGAAAUUCUUGGAUUUAUUGAAGACUAACUACUGCGAAAGCAUUUGCCAAGGAUGUUUUCAUUAAUCAAGAACGAAAGUUAGGGGAUCGAAGACGAUCAGACACCGUCGUAGUCUUAACCAUAAACUAUGCCGACUAGGGAUCGGAUGAUGUUAAUUUUUUAAUGACUCA